rnacentral:tRNA from 1 species
ACUAUUUUGGCAGAUUAGUGCUAUAAAUUUAGAAUUUAUUUAUGUGAUUUUUUCACAAAUAGUA